rnacentral:rRNA from 1 species
GACAGAGGUGCCGAGCGUUAGGCGGAAUCACUGGGCAUAAAGCGCACGUAGGCGGUGACGUAAGUCGGGUGUGAAAUCCCUCGGCCUAACCGAGGAACUGCGCCCGAUACUGCGUUGCUUGAGGACCAGAGGGUGCAUGGAAUUUCCGGUGGAGCGGUGAAAUGCGUUGAUAUCAGGAGGAACACCAAUGGCGAAGGCAGCUCGCUGGGA